UACGUAGGGUGCAAGCGUUAAUCGGAAUUACUGGGCGUAAAGCGUGCGCAGGCGGUUUUGUAAGUUUGUCGUGAAAGCCCCGGGCUCAACCUGGGAAUUGCGAUGAAGACUGCAAGGCUUGAAUCUGGCAGAGGGGGGUAGAAUUCCACGUGUAGCAGUGAAAUGCGUAGAUAUGUGGAGGAACACCGAUGGCGAAGGCAGCCCCCUGGGUCAAAACUGACGCUCAUGCACGAAAGCGUGGGGAGCAAACAGG
rnacentral:rRNA from 1 species